rnacentral:lncRNA from 1 species
ACGUCCCCAAAAACUUACAUUUUCCUUUCUAACUUCAUUUUAACUGCAUAAAAAAAUACCCUAAGAAAGUAUACAUCUAUACAGAGGAAAGUGGGAGCAGGCUGAGGCCUUCACUGAAUUUAUAGCCAGCUGCAGCUUGUGGUGCAAAUUGGCCCAAAGGAAUGCUGGGAGCUUAGAGGACUUAACAGCCUCCAUCUUGGAGGGUGUAGGCUUUGAUUUGCCAUCUGUUUCUCCUUCUCAGUUAAUUUGGUUAUUAGAGAGGCUGUAGCAGAUGUUAAACCUCUGAGAAGAGCAAUCUGAAGGGGGCAGAGAGGUUUUUGUGGAGGAAUCCGAGUGCCCUUACCUGUGUGGUGUGGCUCUGGGAGAGCAAUGAGCUCAAACCUGGGUUUUGCAAAACUCAGGCUUUGCUUAACUGCAAAGAUAAGACCCAGCAGUCAUGCAUGAAGUUGGGCUGCUGCUCUUAGAGGUGAUUCUCCUUCUUUGCUUUAAAAAAAAAAAAAAAAAAAUGGCUAGCAUUUGUUUUUCCUUUAGCUUCCCCUCUUUUCCUUUCUAUUUUGGGGGAGCUGGAGAUGCCCUAGCCCUGUUCCCUUGGUCUCCUUGGGCCUGUUAGGUGCUGCGUCCCUGGAAUGGGGUCUGGACUUGAUCUGCUGCAAAUACAGAAGUUUGUUACUGAUGCAAACAGGUCAUAUUACGCUAUUCUUGUACCUUAAAUAAAUCAAGAAAGGUGUAAAUGUGCUAGUUGUGAACUUAUUUCUCCCUUGGGCUGCUUCCAUGAGAUGUUUCUUUCUCUUCCUCUCUCCCCCCCCGCCCUUGCUCCCGCUUUUGCUGCCUUGAAUGGCAUCAGCUUAUUGAAGGAUUUUCUGAAAAUAGCAGUAUUGGAAAGGCAUGUUCUCUGCUCAUCUGGAAUAUUCCAGGAGGAAUUAACUCCCUUAAUUCUUCACCCCAUAAAUUUGGGGUUCCCUUUCUAGUUUUAUCUUGGAGAUGUGUUAAGGCAAUAACAAGUAUAAGUAAAAGAAGCUGUAAGGUUUGGCUUUCUGUUUUUCAGGAAUGUGGUCUGUGGAUCCAGCAAUAUGCAGGCAGGGCAGGGCUCCUGCCUGGGGCUGGUGGCCGUUCGCACGUGGGACAUCUUGAUUUGGUGUCAGGGGACCUGCAGCUGCCUGAUGCUCUCAAGGCCACAUACAAAAGGAAAGAGAUGAAGAAAUAAGAGAAACAUUCUCCAAGGUUGAAGAAAUGUAUUCUUCAGUUUCCCAGUUAACAGACUCUCCGGAGUGUGACUCAUAAGCCCUUGCAGCUCAAACAGCAUUGCAGAAUGAGCUACCAGCAACCUCUUUGUCCUUCAUGUGAUGUUACUGAAUCAGCUCAAGAUAAUUCAUACCUUGGAGCAACCUCGCAUUGCAAGUAAGGUGCUGCAGUUGGCAUUUUCACACUUGUUUCACAUUUGUUAACAGCUGCAGAAGUUACUUAUGUAAGAGCAGGUUUAUUGCUGUGUGAUUGUCCAGGUCUAGAAAACAUAUCCAAGUUUAGUCUGGAGGAGAGGAGGCCCAUGGGAGUCCUUAUUGCUCCCUACAACUCCCUGAAAGGAGGUUGUGGCAAAGUGGGAGUUGGCCUCUUUUCCUGGGUAAGAGUGAUAGGAUGAGAGCCUCAAGAGCCUCAACCAGGGGAGGUUCAGACUGGAUAUUAGGAAACACUUCUUCUCAGGAAGAGUGGUGAGGCAUUCGCACAGGCUGCCCACGGAGGCGGUGUGUCACCAUCCCUGGAGUUGUUCAAGAACUGUGGGGAUGCGGCACAGAGGAACAUAACUCGUGGGCAGUAUUAGUGGCAGGUGGAUGAUUGGACUAGAUGAUCUCAGAGGUCAUUUCCAACCUUACUAAUUCUAUGAUUGUAAGUUGUAAACCCUGAAGUCUGUUUGAAUGUGUGAUGCGUUCAGUUUCAUUUUCUUUGUUAUACAUUUCUGCAAUGUGAUUUUAUUUCUAACGACGUGAAGAUCCUGCUAUUAAAUAUUAUUAUAACUUGAGGAUGAAACUUCAUAAUACUACCUUGCUGUUACUGUUUUUGACCCAAAAGCCCACAAAGUGCCUGGCAAAUGCUAAAUAGCUUUAUCAGAGACCCCAGAGGUCAUUAAUUAUAGUUGUAUCCAUUUUAGGCACUUGCAAAGUGAG